UGCUCAUACUUGCAACCUGUGAGCGCGCGACGUCAAUAGUAACAGGUAUCUGUGUCCAUAGACAUGAAUGGGUGUUUGGAUUAACAUUAAACAAGGGAGUAAGGAGAGAGUUCAGGGCCUUGGAGGGUUUAAUGCUUGGAAUUACCGAUAUGAGGUAUUGUUAUUGUGACAGUAGCUUCCGCUAUGUGCUCUGCUUCCGAAGAAAACGUAUUUACAGCGAAAAACUCCUUCAAAUCUGAGCAAGCGCCGAGCAAGCCGCAGCCCACCGAGAUUUGGAGAAAGACUUCGUCUGAUUCUGGGUUCAAUUCCUUCAAUGUGGAAACGGCAAGACGCAGGAAAGCGGCAAACAGACGACACCAAAGUUCAAGUACAAGUGAUGUGAUGAUGGAGCCAACACUUCAACUGUUUGUCUGAUAUUGAGGAAGAAAUUACAUCAGUAUGGAGGCCCCGUUAAGGAAUGCUGUGCAGGUUUAACCUGGCAGCACUGCGUCUUAAUGAAAAUGCUCAACAGUCUGCAAGCUACUACUUCAUCUGAAAUGUCUUUCUCCCAAGUUCAAGAAGGGAGAGGGAACAGCUGAGUCUAUCAAAACACCUGAGACCUUCAAUUGGACCGGCUGAUAUUCCUACCAAAGAAACCCAUUUCAAUGGGGGGAUGAUCAACCAGAAAACUGCAAUUGAUGCACCACUACUGAUUACAUUCGCAAGGCUAUGUAUCACUGCAAAUGUAUUGGAAAUAAUGUCUAAAAAGUAAUUUCCCCUUAAACCUAAUAAGUUGCGUCACCUCUUGGUGGCAACAACUGUCAUCAAGAGUUCGUGAGAGUCUUCUCAGACUUAGACUAGGUUACUCACACUAUGUAUUUAUUUUUCAAGCCUUUCAGGGAUGGAUUUUCUGCUGUGCUUUGGAUCACUGUUAUGCUGCUUAACUCAACUGCACUAAAGGUGCGACCCCUAAGGGCUGGACGUUCUUGAAUGCUGAUUAACCAGGCCUAUGUGUGGCUGGUACGUAAAUAGAGACUGACUGGCACUAUUUAUCUCCAGAGAAAUUUUAUACAUCAGAGUUAAAGUCAGAGAGGGCUGAUAUCUUUUUUUUUUUAUUAUCCUGACCAGCUUUUUGGUCAGGCUGUUUCCCCUUAGUAAAUAAGAUCCUUUACAAAUUUGCUUUUUGUUUUUGCUCAGGCUGACAUUAAGUAUACUUUUUCAAAGCAUUGCUCAGUCCAAGAGCUACUAAAUGUCACAAAAUAAACAAUGCAAGUCCAU